UACGUAGGGCGCAAGCGUUAUCCGGAAUUAUUGGGCGUAAAGAGCUCGUAGGCGGUUUGUCGCGUCUGCCGUGAAAGUCCGGGGCUCAACUCCGGAUCUGCGGUGGGUACGGGCAGACUAGAGUGAUGUAGGGGAGACUGGAAUUCCUGGUGUAGCGGUGAAAUGCGCAGAUAUCAGGAGGAACACCGAUGGCGAAGGCGGCUCUCUGGGACGGUACUGACGCUGAGACGCGAAAGCGUGGGGAGCGAACAGG
rnacentral:rRNA from 1 species